AUACGCACGACCAGAAAACCCUAAUUUGAGCUCUUCGAUCAAAGAAUGAGAACUAAAAAACGAAGCACCAGGCCCCCCUUCUCGAAAUCGUCUCGCGGAUCAUUCUCUUCUACUACCACUAGGCGACUUCCUUCACCUAUUCCGGACUCAAAUGCAGAAGAUAGUACUGACUUGAUGGAACUCGAACAAACAAGCGAGGGCGAUGGUGAUGUUCAGGGUGAUAGACGAGAAAGUAAUGUGUGUAAAGAAAAGCAGGAUGGUUUAAAUAUUAUGGAUUUAGAUUUGUCGGAGGAGAAGACUUGCAUAAAAUGUAAUGUAGGUGGGGAAUUGCUGCUUUGUUGUGGAAUUGGUUGUCCAAUUGCUCUUCAUGACAAGUGUAUCCCAUUUAACCCUAGAUAUGAUGAAGAGGGAAACUUUUACUGCCCUUUUUGUUGGUAUAAACAUCAACUUGACAUGGCUGAAGAACUGAGAAAGAAGGCUUUGCUAGCGAAGAAAAAUUUGCAGGAAUUUAUGGAUUUUGAACCGGUUGAGGUUGAUCAUGCUAAAGAGAAGCAUAAUGAUGGGAAAGCAAAAGGAAAUGAUUCAAAUGUCAGACCUGUAGUGGGGGAGAGAAACCAAAAUGAACAUUUGGAGAGAAUGGAGCAAGGAAAGAAUAAUCAAGUUGGUGAUGAGCAAGAUGAGAGAAUUUUUGAGGAAGAAGAGCAAGCAGAAUCUUUAAAAUUAAAUGCUCACUGUGUUGAAGAAGAGAGUGUUGUUGAUAGUGCACUUCAUAAAUCAGCACAAGUAACAUCUGAAACUACAAAAGCAUCUGAAGGAAACCAAGUCAGGGAGGAGGAAAAAGAGCAAAUACAUCAGGGUGGACCUGAAACCAAUGUGACAUAUACUGGUGGAGAUGCGGCAUUAAAUGUGCCUGAAAUGUGUGAUUCGGAUACUGAGAUUGUCGCAGGGAGACAGAAUUGUGGCAGGAGACCAAGUGAGAGAGGAGGAGACCAAGCGAGAGAGGGGGAAAAAGAGCAAAUACAUGGCGACGCGCCUGAAACCAAUGUGACAUAUACUGGUG
rnacentral:misc_RNA from 1 species